GAGAGGAAAAGCAGUCACGGGCUGAAAGUGGGGGCAAAAAGCAGCUGCAGGGUGGGAGGCCCAGGGUGGUGAGCUCGCAGCCCAGGGAUGAGCGGGGAGACAGCCCCCAGCUUCACCUGAGGUGACUUUAGAGCUGCUGGGAAUGGGGCUGGCUUGUCCUGCGGUGACAACGCCCGGCUCAGGGUGACCCAGGGUCACCAUAGACACCACCCGUGCAGUUCCAGGAACCGGCUCGCAGUGGCACAGAGUUACUGUCAUUAACACACCUGAGGCUUAAAAAGUCACAGGUGUUGCGAAAGAGGCGCUUUCUGCUGCGCAGAGCCACCCUGACUCAAAAUACACACGCCUGCGGGGCUGCGGCAGGGCAUGUCACGACGACGGGGACUGUGGCUCCAGCAGGGUCACAAGCGGGUGGCACAGCCCGGGUGCUCCUUCAGGGCUGCAGGAGCACCAGAGGAACCAGCCCGAGCCAGGGGAACCUGCGCUGCCAGGGCGGGGAGGGAGGGAAGGCUGUGCCGCUGCUAAGAGACGGGGUAAACACAGCCGGGGCUGGAGCGGGGCUGACUCAGGCAUCGAUCCGCUUGAGCUCCUCGGAGUUAUCUCGGAAUUAUCCUCUGAAACAGCUCCUUGUACGAGAAACCCCCGAGGAUGGGCGGGCAGUGCUGUGAGGCCGGGCUCGGUGGGUGGGGGUGGGCUGGAGCCCAGAGCCCCCUCGGGAGGGCUCAGGUGGGCUCUGCCGCUGUCUGCUCCGUGUUUUUUCCAGCCGUGCCCCAGAACACCUUUGGGAAGGUGUUUCUGCUGUGCUGAGCCUGCUCCUGCCAGCCCCAGUGAGAUCUUCUCUUUUGCUGCUGCUUCUGGGCUCUGCCAGCACAGCACCAUCACCUGCGGUAAUCUCCCGAGCAUCUCCACUGCGGGUGAGUCACCUGCGGCGCUGCUGUCACCAAACAGCUUAUCAGAAGUGAACGGACUGAUUUUUCCUGCUCCUCCUGAUGAUAAGAGGAUCCACGGCCACCCCGCUCUUUGUCCGGCUCUUCCGCGUUGCGCUGGGUUGUUGUCAAAGCCAGCUUCGAGAGCUGAUUGCCAAGAGACGCUCUGCUUUGGGACUUGGAGACGAUCAAGUAGAGCUUUGGACCAGUGGGCCAGGACUGGUGCCCAGCCUCGCUGCAGGGAGGCAGCCGUGUCACCAGAGAGGGGGACAGCCAGGACGUGCCAGGCUCCAGCACAGAGGGCUCAGCAGCAG